rnacentral:rRNA from 1 species
AUUGAACGCUGGCGGCAGGCUUAACACAUGCAAGUCGAGCGGAGAUGAGGUGCUUGCACCUUAUCUUAGCGGCGGACGGGUGAGUAAUGCUUAGGAAUCUGCCUAUUAGUGGGGGACGACAUUCCGAAAGGAAUGCUAAUACCGCAUACGUCCUACGGGAGAAAGCAGGGGAGCUUCGGACCUUGCGCUAAUAGAUGAGCCUAAGUCGGAUUAGCUAGUUGGUGGGGUAAAGGCCUACCAAGGCGACGAUCUGUAGCGGGUCUGAGAGGAUGAUCCGCCACACUGGGACUGAGACACGGCCCAGACUCCUACGGGAGGCAGCAGUGGGGAAUAUUGGACAAUGGGGGGAACCCUGAUCCAGCCAUGCCGCGUGUGUGAAGAAGGCCUUAUGGUUGUAAAGCACUUUAAGCGAGGAGGAGGCUACUGAGACUAAUACUCUUGGAUAGUGGACGUUACUCGCAGAAUAAGCACCGGCUAACUCUGUGCCAGCAGCCGCCGCCGUAA